rnacentral:lncRNA from 10 species
GAUCACACCACUGCACUCCAGCCUGGGCGACAGAGCAAGAAUCUGUCUCAAAAAAAAAGAAAAAAAGAAAAUUAGCACGCAAGCAUGGGAGUGUGUGCCUGUGAUCCUAGAUACUUGGGAGGCUGAGGUGGGAGGAUCGCUUGAGCCCAGGGGUUGGUGGCUGCAGUGAGCUAUGAUGACAUCACUGUACUGCAGUCUGGGUAACACAGUGAGACCCUGUCUCAAAAAAAAAGAAGAAAAGAAAAGAGAAAAAACUUAGAAUGCCCUGAAAAAUUUGCAACUCAUUUCAUGGCUAACUUAGAUCUCUCAUUUUUUAUCCCAGUUGUUACAAGUAUUCACAUAUUUUUAUUUUUAUUUAUUUUUUAUUUUUU